GGGGUAGUUUUAUUGGUUUCGACAUGUACUACUAGAUAUGACUGCAAGUAGUAGGCAUACUUUAAAUGCACAAAUAAAAUUAAAUGACAAAGCUGAUUAUAGCUUUGCUCCAGCAUUUGCCUAAUAGAUAGGUAGGAGCACUUUUAUAAGACCUUCUCCUAUAGGGAAUUAUAAAGGUUUAACUAUAUAGGAUAUACUAAUUUAUUGUUUAGGUAAAUUAAUGAAUACUUACUAAACUCGUUAUAUUAUAGGUACGUGAUAGCCAGUAAUAUAAUUAAAUAAUAAAUCUCACUAAACUUGUAGACGUUGUAUAAUAGGGUAUUAUGGACAUGGGUUCGACUCCCAUCUACUCCACCA
rnacentral:tmRNA from 1 species